GAAAUGGGAACACCACUCCAUCUGUCCAGUUCUCCCUUGAUUUUGUUUCACAUACCCAUAUAGUAAAGGUGUGCAUCUCUCCCUUAUGUAGUGGUAUGAGGCAUCACUGCCUUAUUAGACUUAGUUUGGCUGCAUCACGGUCCCUCUGGCUUAUUAGCCAAUCACUGCUCUUCCCAAGGGGAUAAAAGUAGGCCGUGUCCCCCCUCCUGACCUCUCGCUUCCUGCCUUUUCGGCCCGCCUACUUCCGGGUCGUCGUAUGUGCCGCUAGCGCCCGAGCACAGGUAAGCGCACAUUGCCGUGCUGUUUUUUGUAUAUUCGUCCGUGUUUCAUUUAAUUAAAACCGUCGUUCCCUAAUAGACUUGGCGUCUUCACCGCGGUCGAGCCAACCGGUCAGGGGCUGCUUAUUGCUGCAACCAGAGCAUUGUGCUGAAGGCUGACGGUGGUGGUGGUGGUCCUCCUGGGUGGUGGUGGUCCCCUGUGUGAUCCCUUUUUAAGAUUUUCUUUGUUUGCACGUCACGUUUUGCUGUGUGCGUGGGGUGUUCUCCUUUUUCUUUUGGAUGUCACUUCCCCUACCAAACCCCUCUCCCAGCCGGUAAGCCUCAGCCUACGUCCCCCUUUUUGGUUGGGCUCCCUUCUUUCUGUUGCAUUGCCAAUCUUGUGCUUAUCUUUUAAUAAAUAAAAUAUUGUAUAUGAUCAUUGAACGCCGUCUCUCUCUCCCUCCCUGAGUGAACGAACCUGAGUGUCCUUUUCGUUUUGAAGGUAAUAAUUGACCUUUAGUACGGGUCCUUGGGCCCUAACCCAAGGUGGCGUUGUUGGUAUCUGGUGUAUAACGUAGUAAUAGCCCUCGUGUCGCCACACUUAUAUGAUAUGUAUCUACACUAAAAACAAAAAGUAGGGAAAUUUGUGUUUGGUAGAUUAUAUGUUUGUUGUAACAGUGCUUCUUGGCAAUACAUUUUAUACCAUUGGAAAGCCUGUUUAUUUCCCUUUUAUAUGGUGCCACAUUUGUAAGGAACAUGCAUUUGUGGGAUGAGCAGCAGAGCUGAGUAUGUGGGUUGUGCCCAUGAAAAAAUUGCCAAAUCUUCUCUGCCAACAC
rnacentral:lncRNA from 1 species